rnacentral:rRNA from 1 species
AUUGAACGCUGGCGGCAGGCCUAACACAUGCAAGUCGAGCGGAUGAAGGGAGCUUGCUCCUGGAUUCAGCGGCGGACGGGUGAGUAAUGCCUAGGAAUCUGCCUGGUAGUGGGGUAUAACGUCCGGAAACGGGCGCUAAUACCGCAUACGUCCUGAGGGAGAAAGUGGGGGAUCUUCGGACCUCGCGCUAUCAGAUGAGCCUAGGUCGGAUUAGCUAGUUGGUGGGGUAAAGGCCUACCAAGGCGACGAUCCGUAACUGGUCUGAGAGGAUGAUCAGUCACACUGGAACUGAGACACGGUCCAGACUACUACGGGAGGCAGCAGUGGGGAAUAUUGGACAAUGGGCGAAAGCCUGAUCCAGCCAUGCCGCGUGUGUGAAGAAGGUCUUCGGAUUGUAAAGCACUUUAAGUUGGGAGGAAGGGCAGUAAGUUAAGACCUUGCUGUUUUGACGUUACCAACAGAAUAAGCACCGGCUAACUUCGUG